rnacentral:rRNA from 1 species
AAAGUUUGAUCCUGGCUCAUKYGAACGCUGGCGGYGUGCUUAUCAUAUGCAWSUCGAACRUUGAASUCCUUCGGGAUGGAUUARUGGCGCACGGGKGAKUAAUAUAUAGUUAAUGUACCUUCAAGACUGGGAUAGCCACUGGAAACGGUGAUUAAUACUAGAUAUACCUCUUUAACAUAAGUUARAGUGGKAAAUGUWUUUUCGCUUGARGAUCARACUAUAUCCCAUCAGUUUGUUGGUGAGGUAAUGGCUCACCAAGGCAAUGACGGGWAGCGGGUUURARAGGAUGAUCCGCCACACUGGUACUGAGACACGGACCAGACUCCUASGGGAGGCAGCAGUGAGGAAUAUUGCAYACUGGGGGAAACCCUGAUGCAGCAACGCCGCGUGGAGGAUGACKCAUUUCGGUGUGWAAACUCCUUUUAUGAGUCAAGAAAAUGACGGUAGCUCAUGAAUAAGCACCGGCUAACUCCGUGCCAGCAGCCGCGGUAAUACGGAGGGUGCAAGCGUUACUCGGAAUCACUGGGCGUAAAGGACGCGUAUGCGGGUUGGUAAGUCAGAUGUGAAAUCCUACAGCUCAACUGURGAACUGCAUUUGAAACUACCGACCUAGAGUAUGGGGAGGGGGAGAUGGAAUUAGUGGUGUAGGGGUAAAAUCCGUAGAUAUCAYUAGGGAAUACCAAARGCGAAGGCGAUCUCCUGGRAACUUUACUGACGCUAARGCGUGRAACCGUGGGGASCAAACAGGAAUAGAUACCYUGG